rnacentral:tRNA from 2 species
GGGCGAUUAGCUCAGUUGGUAGAGCAGCGCUUUUACACAGCGAAGGUCGGGGGUUCAAAUCCCUCAUCGCCCACCA